GAUGAAGAACGUAGCGAAAUGCGAUAAGUAAUGUGAAUUGCAGAAUUCAGUGAAUCAUCGAAUCUUUGAACGCACCUUGCGCCUUUUGGUAUUCCGAAAGGCACACCUGUUUGAGCGUCAUGAAUACCUCAAUCUCCAUCUUUUCUUCGGAUUGAUGGGUGACUUGGAUGUUGAGCCCUGCUGGUAUGCUAUAUCAGCUGGCUUUAAACUUAUUAGCCGGCUCUGUACUGGAUCGGUUUGACUCGACGUGAUAAUAUUAUCGUUGAGGAUGCAUGUCUCAUGCAGCCGGAAAGUAUCAAAGCAGCUUCUAGCAUGCCUUUAGUGCACUUUUACAUUUUAGACCUCAGAUCAGGUGGGACUACCCGCUGAACUUAAGCAUAUCAAUAAGCGGAGGA
rnacentral:misc_RNA from 1 species